GUUUUCAUUUGCUGUUCUGCUAUUUUGGCGUCAACAUGCUGACGUGCUAACUUUCUUUCAACAAGAAGUUGAGCUUCAAGUUCUUUGACCUGUAAUGAGCUCACAAAAUCAGCACAAGAAUAUGUCUAACACAAGCAAUGCAUGAACGACACUUGAGAACAAUAAUACAAAGACACGAAUAACGGUCCCAACUCAAUUCCUCUUACUCUGCUAGCAAAGUUCAAUGAGCAAAGAGUCUCAUUCAAGUCAUUUUCGUUGGGACUGAUCUGUACGAACAUGAGUGUCUUUGAAUCUCCCCCUAACGAUAGGGAUUCCAUUUAUCAAUAAAGCCA